rnacentral:rRNA from 1 species
ACAUGCCUACAACUUAGUGUUAAUUCACUAGAUCCAAUUAGAACUCCGUAGUUAAGCGCACUUGGGCUAGAUUAGUACCGAGAUGGGUGAUCGCCUGGGAAGUCCUAGUAUUUUACAUGCC